GGAAUAAUUCUGCCUUCCAUCCUCAAGGGCCAGUGGGAAUUCUAAUGUACUUUUUCCUGAAAAUACUCCAUCCCAGGGAGACGGAGUCCUGAGAGCUCAGUGUCUGCCACAUAUCUAAGGAUCAAGGUCUCUUUCACAAAUGUGCCUGGAUCGAUGAUGACUUCAAAAAUGGAUAUUGUUGGAAUCUGAACAAAAUUAGUGACAAAAUCACUGAUGUGAACUGAGGUCCAGCAGAAGAGACCAUGCUAGGCAAAAAUGUUGGGGUAGAGCUCAGUUUGGUCAGCUAGUGGUACCUAUAGGGUCCAUAGUAAUUGAAUGCUAUCCUGAUUGCAUACAUUAAAGGAAUUGAAUUUCACGGAGGUCUAUAAAUAUCUGACUUAGGGAUGACAUGGCAACUCUUUGAAUGCUUGGCUGGCAGUUUCCAUGCAUUCAUAGUAACCAGAUCCUGGAGAACCAGCAUAGGAGUAGAGAGGCUGGUGGUAAAUGGUUAUGUCUACCCAUGAGCUAUUCACACAUUCUUCUUAGGUGCCUUAGUCUUCAGAGUGAAGUCAAUUAGGUAUUCAAGGCAGAAUAUAUGAGUGUUUAUUUAUCUCUUAAAGUAAAAGAAAAACAUAGAAAUUUAAGAGCAGUUUCUAUUUGUCAAAAUGUCUUCCAGAACAUUUUAAUUUCCUUGCUGACCAAGUCACAAGUAUUAGAAGAGUUUUUUUCCCUGUCACCCAAAGAGGAAUUUUCUAGACAUUUAUGUUAUGGAUCCAAAUAGAUGCUGUAUUAAACAUAUUUAAUUAAAAAUUAUUACAUUUCCAAUUACUUAUAUUUUAGGUAGAUUUCAUUGCCCAGUAUUCAUAUUGUGUUAGUGGGUUUCAUAGUGUUGAAGGGGAGAUCCUAGUAUUAAUGCCUGCUGCUGAGUGAAGGCUUUGGGGAAACUUUGAGACCAAGGCCUUACAACUUUCAGUGUUACCCUGAUCCAAGUAGUGAGCAUUAUUUUUCUUCUUAUACAGAUAGUCAAGGGAAUAUCUAUGGUUUAUUCCUUAUAAUCUGUUAUUAGUUAGUAAACUUUCAAUUAUGAUGGUUUGGUUUGUCAAAUUCCCUAAUUUCCCAAUAUAUUCAGUAGAUUAGAGGUGAUAUUGAAGUUGGAUGGAAUUCCUCCCACUUCUUCAAGGAACUGCUGAUUUUCUCAUUCAUACCAGCUCCCUUCUGCAUAAAUAAUCACAACAAUGCACUCCAGAGAUGGAAGUGACUUUGGAAUUGCAUGGAAUACUCACCACCAUAAAAAAGUGCUGAUUUUGUUGCUUUCACCUGUUCCCUCUCCUGGGAUGGAACAAAAUAAUGAACUCCAAAGUUCCACAGAUAUGGACCACUGGUUGAGUUUAAUAUGAAAGAGUUUAUCCCUCUUCUUGAGAGGUGACAUGAAGGAAAGUAUUGAAAAUCAUUUUACCAUCUCAUCCUCAAAUGCCAGUGGGAAUUGUAACAUCAGUUGGAAGUAAUACUGGAAUUGCAUGGAAUUCUUACCACCCCACCAAAGAAGAGCUGGUUUUGUCACUUCUGCCAGCUCCUUAUCUAAGAAGAAAUCCAAUGAUGCACUCUCAAGAAUUUUUGCAUUUUCUCAGUCUUCCUACUAAUGCCUCAUACAGGAAUUAAGCAUGGAGAUGAAAGUAAAGCCAUUCCUCACCAGUGUGGCAGAGAGAAACUGUUUCUACUGAGGGGUGUGCUUGGCCAAAUGUACUGAAUCCUCAGCAGUGUGGCCUGGUGAGCACCACCCUGACAAUAGGAUGGGAAGUAUUUCAUGGUUGAGAUGUUCCAAAAACUGGGUUUCAUAAGGAUGAGUUUAUCCCUUCCCCGUGAGAUGAGACAUGAAGGAAAGUGUUGGGAAUAAUUCUGCUUCCCAUCAUCAAAGGCCUGUGUGAAUUCUCACAAAGGUGAUAGAGCCUAGAAGGAAAGGGAAACUGUCUAUGCUUUUGCCUUAACCUUUGAAUGUCAGUUCUAGAGAAGGAGGUGACAACUUACUUCUCAGCCAGUGCUCUCCCUUCCCACCUGUGGUCCUUUGGACACCCUCGCAGAAGAUGACUUCUUGGGAACUCUUUUGGGAAUGAAUGAUACCAGUAAAUCCCUGAAGCAAGAUUCUUCAGACAGAGCCUAUUCACCUACCUGUUGUCCAAGGGCUACCCUCUGAAGGUGAUGACCACAGAGACGAGGUGGAUUUGUUACUGUGGGUACCAUUACUUCUACCAUCAGCUUCUUCAAAACAAUGAUACAGUCUUCUUUGUGCAUGGAAACUCUUCUAUUUCCUGUGUUGCAGUGGAUUCCUCCUGCAGAUAAGAAAUGCUUAACUGAGAAAUGCUCAUGUUGGGAUAUCAUCGAUGAGACUUUAAUUUGGGCAUGGUGACUGUUUCCCUUGCUUCCACUUGACUCAAUCCCAGGAGCCUCAGUAGAGGAAAUAUUAUUGCACAAGAAACUCAGAAUGAUGGAAUUGCUCAGUGCUCCCAUAAAUAUACAUUUAUAAUUUUCAUUUGCCAUGUGGUAAAUUUAAAAAUUAAGUUCUAUUAAAAUUUUUUCAAAAAUUCAAAGCAUAUCUAAAUAUCUAAUAUAUAAAUUAAGUGCCCUCCUCUCUCCCAAUUCUAUCUCCUAGAGUUAUCCUCUAUUAAAUAAGUUGUGUGCAUUCUUUAAGUGGAUAGAUGCACACACACACAAACACACACACACAAGAUAUUUUGGGGGGUUCUGAAAGUGGAGCUAUAUUGUACACAUUAUUCUUCAAAUUGCAUUUCAUUUAACAGUUUUUUCAACACCUUUUUCUGUUUCAGUAAUACAUAUCUGUGUCAUUUGUUGAAUGACUGCAUGAUUGUUUUGUACAUGAAAUAUAAUUAAAUGUUUUAAGCAUUUCUCAUUCAUAGAUAUUUAUGUUAGCACCAAAUUUCUGUGCAAUGAACCUCCCUAUAUAUCAAUAAUUUGCAUUUGUCUAUUAUAUCAUAAUAAAUUACUCAGCAGUGAAAAUACUGGGAUUAAGUAUAUGCACAUUUCAAAUUUUGAAAAUGAUCACAAGAUUUCCUUUAAAAUGUGGUAACAACUUUAUCCUCAAAUGGCAAUGAAUGAGAUUGCCAGCUUUCCCACAACCUCACAGAUAAUGAAUUUUAUGACUAUUUAAAAUCUUUGCCAGUGUGAUAGCCCAAACUAUUGUCUUAAAUUGUAUUUCUUUCAUUUUUGAGUGUGAUCAUUUUUUCAUAUGUUUAUUAGCCAUCUGUAUUUUUAAAUUUUCUUUUUAUAUCCAAUUUUGGGGGUGGGUGGAGGUUUUAAUCUCUUGCUAAUUUCAGAGAGCUCAUUUAUUAUUGGGGGAAUAAGCUUUCAAUUGUCAAGCAUUACAGAUAUUUUUUACACACUUUUAAACUUCAUUUUUGUUAUAAGAAUGUGUAUGACUGUUAUGUGUCCAAGUAUAACCAUGUUCGCUUCUAUGGCUUCUGAGUUUCAUGUCAUUUUAGAAAGAUAUUUACACUGAUCCCAUAAAACUCUCCACCUAUGUUAACUUCUAAUUAUUUUGUGUUUUUUAAUUCAAAUUCUUAAAUCAUGAGAAAGUUUUUUUAUUUCAAAUCUUAAAGUUGCCAAGUUAUUUGCCAUUACUUGCGAUUAUUUGCCAAUAAUUGCCCAUUUAUCUGUAAUGCCAUCUUGCAUAUAUGCUGUAUUCUCAUCUGUGACUGGCUCCAUUUUUGUUCUGUGGGUCUGUGUGUCUCUUCUUCUGCCUCCUGUCUCAUGUGUCUUCUCAUUGGAAGAAAUUACAGUUUAGACUGCAAUUUCAUCAACUUCAAUAAAUUAAUUUAGUGGAGAAUUGGUUUUUAACAAUAGUCUUCCUAUCCAAGAUCAAGGUAUGUCUUUCUUUUUAUUCAAUAAUUUUAAUUACUGUUAAUAUUUUCACUUUGUGGUGGGGGUAUCUUCUUUCAGUUUAUUUUCUUACUUGCUAAUUUUUCUAUAUCUGGAAGUUUUGUUUUGUUUUGGGGGUAAGUGAUCUCCUUACUCUUUCUCAUGGCUUUUCAGAAUUUUUUUUCAAAUUAUGUACUAAAUCCUUUGAAAAUACUGAUAGUUGUGAUUCUCCUCUUCCAAAUGAUCUGGAUUUUAGUUAUGUUGAUAAAAUUCACUGACUGAUACUUUCAGAGCACUUAAACAAUUGUGGAAAUAUUACCCACCAUUGAUUUAAUUAGGUUUUAAUGGAUACUUCUUGGGUUUGACCAGCAUGUUUUUGCUGGUCUAUUAAGCAAAAAGACUCUCAGAAACCUACUGCAGCAAGGGAAAACACCACUUUGACAAGGUUUAGUAGUGUUUCAAAAGCAGGAAAUUAGGGCUUUGAGGGAUGGGUUGAUGUGGUUUAAGGCAGGAUUUUCAAGGCAGGGAACUGGUUAAGAGUGGGCAAAAUUUGUCCUGCGAUAGUUUGAAGUCGAUGAAAGAGUAAGAUGAGGACCUUGAUGUGAGUUUAGAUAAUCAAAUUUUUGUCUGAUGAAUGAGCUACUUCCCUAUAUGAAUAAUAAGUUAUCAAUGAUGGAAGAACUAUUUGCUUAGAUGAACAGACUGAAUUUAUUUGUUGGUUUACAGUUCUAUCUUGUUUAUAGAACCCUGCUAGGGGUGGUAUCAGGUCUUAGUUCCAAUAGGUAAGUUAUUUUGAUGUAAGUAGUCUCAGUCAUCAAAGUAAGAUGCUAAUUUUAAAUUUGAGAUUCUUGUGUAUUGUGUUAGGAAAAGUCUCUUACCUUUGAUAUAUUUCUAAAGAAUUUUAAUCAAAACCAAGUGGUAGAUAUAAUCAAAUGCUUUUUGCAUAAACAAUUGUAUUAUUCUUUAAACUUUUAUCAUUGUGAAAUAAUUCAUUUUUAAUAUUGAAAUUUCCUUAUAUUCCUUUUAUUGU